UGCCGCCUAAACUCUCCCCCAUCUCCUAAAUUACAUAGAACUCCCGCGUCUUUCAGUUUCUUCUACCCACGACCACAAUAUGCUAAAUCCUUGCAAUUAUUUUUCCCAACUGAAAGAUUAUCUCAAGCAGCCUCUCACAAGCUAUCGUAUGGAUUCUUCUCAAUUCCACAAUCCAUUCGGCUAAGUGGAAAGAAAGUUUGUCAGAAAAAUGACUUCAAAUCGUGAGUGGAUGUACAAAAGGUUAACGAGAGGUUUGUAUAAUCCAGCAUUCUUAAGGGGUGUUGAGCAAUUUAUUGAGUUUGCAAAGAAUCAUCAGGAAGGGAGGGAUGGUGAGAGACAAAGGUGCCCAUGUAAUCGAAAAAAGUGUCAGAAUAGAAAUUUUGAAGAUGUUCUUACGGUCCACGAGCAUUUGUUGCGUGAUGGCUUUGUACUUGGAUAUCAUAUAUGGUACUUGUAUGGAGAAAAUGAGGUUACGAGAAAUAUAGAUCAACAUCAAGAGACACAAAAUUGUGAUCAGACUAUGAAUACUGCAUCAACAAAUAUGGGUGCAAUUGAUGAGCAUGGAUCAUCUACUUCAUACCAUAGAAUGGUCCUUGACGCUGCUGGCCCCUCAUUCGAUCCGAGUGAUAUGGAUGAAUUGCCGAACCCUAAUGCGCAGAAACUUUAUGAUAUGAUUGAUUCUGCAAAUCAAGAAGUGUGGCCUGGCUGUGAAACAGUCUCAAUUGUCAGUUGUUGCACGUUUGUUGCAUAUCAAGUCUGAACACCAUUUGUCUGAUAGAUGUUUUGAUGACAUUUAUCAAUAUGUGAAUGAGAUGAUUCCUCCUGAUAACUUGAUGCCAAAAAAUUUCUAUGAAACUAAGAAGUUAAUGCAGGGAAUGAACAUGCCAAUAGAAAAAAUUCACAGUUGUAUUAAUGCCUGUAUGAUUUUUGGGGAGAAGACAGUGAACUUAGCCAUUGCAAGUUUUGUCGUCAUCCCAGGUACAAGCCUACUAGGCAAAUAUCUAAUUCAAAGAGAAAUCUUGUACCAUUCAAACAGAUGUUAUACUUUCCCAUUACUCCACGAUUGCAACGCCUAUAUGCUUCCGACAUGACUGCUGCACACAUACAAUGGCAUGCCGAGCAUGAAGUUGAAGAAGGUGUGAUGUGUCACUGUUCAGAUGCACCCACAUGGAAAUACUUUGAUAAGAUGCAUCCAUCUUUUGCAGCUGAAAGUCGUAAUGUCAGAUUGGGGCUAUGCACAGAUGGUUUUCAACCAUUUGGACAAACAGGUCAACAAUAUUCAUCUUGGCCAAUAGUUGUGACACCAUACAACUUGCCGCCUUGGAUGUGUAUGAAAGAGUCCUAUUUGUUUUUGUCAGUUAUAGUUCCUGGGCCGAAGAACCCUAAGCAAAAACUUGAUGUUUUCUUGCAGCCUUUGAUUGCUGAACUAAAAAAUCUAUGGAGUACACGUGUGGACACAUAUGAUAUCUCUAAGAAGCAAACCUUUAACAUGCGAGCUGCUUUGAUGUGGACAAUCAGUGAUUUUCCUGCAUAUUCGAUGUUGCCUGGGUGGGGUACUGCGGGUAGGCUAGCUGUCCAUAUUGCAUGGAGAAUUCAGAUGCUUUUACUCUGACAAAAGAUGGCAAACAGUCCUGGUUUGACAAUCAUCGUAAGUUCCUACUACUGGAUCAUCCAUACAAAAUUAAUAGAAAUUCAUUUAGAAAGAACAAAGCAGUCACAACGCAUCCUCCCCCAAUACGGUCUGGUGAUGAUAUCUUGAAGGAGAUAAAUGAAUUGGGGUUGAAAAAGGUAACAGAGCUUGGGGCUGAUAUUGUUAAUGGCAAAAUUAGUAAGUUUUCUGGUUGGAAGAAAAGAAGCAUAUUUUAGGAUUUACCAUAUUGCAGUACAAAUCUCAUUCGGCACAAUCUAGACGUUAUACACAUCGAGAAAAACUUUUUCGAGAAUGUGUUCAACACAGUGCUAGAUAUAGAUGGUAAAACAAAAGAUAAUCCUAAAUCUAGAGAAGACUUGAAAGAGUUUUGUCGAUGUCCUGAAUUACAUGUUGUUGGUGGUGAAUAUCCGAAAGCUUGUUACACACUAGACAAGAAGUCAAAAAAAGUGUUGUGUGAAUGGGUGGAAAAUCUAAAAUUUCCAGAUGGAUAUGUCUCAAAUAUGAGAAUGUGUGUGGACAUGAAAAAACAUAAAUUAUUUGGUAUGAAAAGCCACGAUUGCCAUUUAUUCAUGCAAAGAUUGGUCCCUAUUGCAUGUUGUGAGCUAUUACCACAAAAGGUUUGGGAACCACUUGCUGAGAUGAGCUUUUUCUUUAGGGAUCUCACUUCUACGGCAAUUCGGCAAGAGGAUAUGGUCAGACUUGAACAAGAAAUACCUGAAAUACUUUGUAAAUUGGAGCGUAUAUUCCCUCCCAGCUUCUUUGAUUCAAUGGAACAUCUUCCCGUGCAUCUUGCUUACGAAGCAAGGAUAGCAGGUCCGGUGCAAUAUCGAUGGAUGUACCCGUUUGAAAGAUAUGGCACCUAGGGGAGGUGGAGCACGUAGAUAUGCUGAAAAUAGAAAUGCAAAUUCAUUGAGAUCUCCUGAGAUGUUGAGUCCCACAUCUAAUCAAUCACCAUUAUCACCUGAACCUCCGGUACUAGAAAUGCCACAUUCAGAUGCAACUAUAAACUGAUCCUUACCAUCUUCAUCUUCUGAUCUUGGUGCACCUGGAGAUGAAAUCCGGUCAGCAAGUUCCUCAAACACAAUUGGUGGUACCCGUAUCCCAAUUACAAUCGUCCCUGGAGGUGGAGCCGGGCAAUCAAGUCGCUCGAUCUGUCACAAAAAUCUUCAAGGAGAAACUGGAUCAUAAAGGACAUAAUUGGAAGUCUGUUAUACCAGAGACAAGAGACUUCUAUUGGGAAGAGUUUAAGAAACGAUUUCAAUGGGAUACUGCAAUUGAAAGUGCCAUAAAGGAUAAGUUUAUGAGCAAAUGUGCAGAACGAUACAAGGGUCUGUCUGAAGCAAGACUUGAUGAGACGAAGCACAAACAUAUUCCAGUAUCUAUUUGGGAGAGCUGGAAGCCUCACUGGGAGACUGAGGCUUUUAAAGCCAAGUCCGCGUAGUGCUCAAGGAAUCGACUAAGUGAGAAAGGUGGUGAAGGAUCUGGUCCCUCACUCCAUACAGGAGGCUUUAACGAGAACAUGCAAAAAUACUGGCUAAAGAACUAGGAAGACAACCACAUCCACAUGAGCUUCCGAGAACGACACACGUCAAGGCGAACAAGGAGUUUGUGGACCAGAAAUCUAGGAGCACAUAUGAUGCCAUAAUGUCUAAAAUUGCGUCUGCGUCUCAACCUGAAAUAGGUCCAGUGAGCCUCCUGAAGUUGAUUUCUUACAAAUUUAUUUGGACGAAGUCUGGUGUUAAGAAGGCACGCAUUUAUGGUCUUGGUUCUCAAGCUCCUUUCUUUGGGCAUGUUGGUGUAUCCUCCAGUUCGAAAUCUCCGCUUCAAGAUCUAGACUUUAAUGCUCGGGUGAAUGAAUGUGUCGGACAUCGUUUGCAAGAAAUUAAAGAAGAGAUGAAGCAUGAGAUGAGAUCAGAGAUCAAAGAAGAGAUUAGACAAGAAAUGAGAGAAGAAAUGCGUGAAGAAAUGAGACACGAAAUGCAACAAGAGGUGCGCGAGCAAGUUGAUCAACUACUCCAAAACCGUAUGUCGGUCCUCAUAAGUGGCUUACCUACACCGCCUUCUCUUAGACAUGACUCGUCGUCAAAUAAUGACACGAGUAAUAUUUAGAUUUAUUUUAGCUUCUUUUAUGUUAGACACGUUUCGGAUUCUGCUUUCAAUUUCAUGACAGAUAUUAUAAUUAUUUAUAAAGUGCUAUUAUGUUUUUUGUUC